AUGGCCAAUUUUGAGAUCACUCAAUACGAGGGUGCACUUGUGGAGAACACCAAGAUCAGCUUCCGCAACUUGUACUUGCGCCGGUUCUCUUCAGGACCAGAGAAGAACCAGUUAGUGCUAAUAGACGGGUAUGGUUCAACUGAUCUUGGGCUUACUGCCGCCAACAACUGGGCAAUAUAUGAUGGCACCGGUCCGGAUGCAAAGCUGGUUGCCCAUGCACAAGGUCUGCAGACCAACGUUGCAGGCAACUGGUACAACUCAUUCGUCAUGGUGUUUGAGAUUGAGAGGUUCAAGGGGUCCACGCUUGAGAUAAUGGGAGCAACAGUCGAGAAAGAAGGCGAGUGGGCAAUUGUCGGUGGAACGGGUGGCUUUGCAAUGGCUCGUGGUAUCAUCCAGAGAAAAGUACAUGAAAAGAGAGCUGAUGGAGAAAUACUAGAGCUUACCAUCGACGCAUUCUACCGCAUGAAGAUGGAGUACAAGAUGUCUAGAACGACAUGUUGGAUCCACAGCAGGAUGUCUGAUGACUCCGUUGUGGCAAUUAUCAAUGGAGAGGUCGUCAUGACCAACGCCAACCGGAGUGACGAACGUCAGCUCUGGUGGAAGCACCUUAUAUACGAGGAUGGCCUCAAGGAUGAGGCAGGCAACCCAGGGUUUGUGCUGGUGAACAAAGGCACCGGAGAUGCAUUGAAGCACCCUCCUAUGGACCCCAGUCGCUGGAUCGAAACCAUCAAGUUCGAUCAAGCGCAUCUGGACGAGUCAAUCCAGUGGGCCGAGAGCGGGGACCUGGGCGCUGGUUUUCGCCAAAUCUAUAGGAUCAACAAAAUUGACUACCACUUAAAUGCGUAUGGCGGGUCUGCACAAGAGGGCACACGGCUCCAACUCUAUCCGGCGAAUGGCCAAAUUUUUAAUAAUGAGCUUUGGAAGAUCACCCCCGUAGAGUGA
rnacentral:rRNA from 1 species